rnacentral:tRNA from 1 species
GGGGUUGUGGCUCAGUGGUGGAGCGCUUGCCUAGCAUGCAUGAGGCACUGGGUUCAAUCCUCAGCACCACA